rnacentral:misc_RNA from 1 species
UAAGACACAGGUCAGCUUUAGCUGCCUCCCUAAACGCCUCGUUAAAAAGUUGAGAUCGAUUUCUCCUAUUACAACGAGGCGUCUUAGGUCAAUUUUCUGAAAAAUCCAUAUUUUUAAUUUCGGUUGUUCAUCCUUAAUUUAUUUCUCUACUUCAAUUUUUCUAUUUAUUCAUAACAUCAUCGUUCGAUCGAUUUAUCCUUCAUCAUCCAUCCAUUCCUUGCCUUAAUCUCUGCGGAAGAUGGAGGGCUUAAUCAGCAGGCUAAGGAGUUUGGAUGCUUAUCCCAAGAUCAAUGAAGAUUUCUACAGCCGGACACUCUCCGGUGGCAUUAUCACUAUCGUUUCCUCUAUCGUCAUGCUUCUCCUCUUCAUCUCCGAGCUCCGAUUGUAUCUCCAUGCUGUCACUGAAACAAAGCUUGUAGUGGAUACUUCAAGAGGCGAAACUUUACGUAUAAAUGUAAUGCCUUAGUUUAACAAAUUACAGAAGUAUCAACGAGCUUCUAAGUGAUGGAAACUGCUUUUCUAUUAUAAUGUUCAAAAGUUUCCAUUCAUUAGACUUAGGGUGAAUUUGUAUACAUUUGGCUAAAUUUAUCAUACUUAAAAGAUUUGUGAAUUUUUUGCUUUUAUCAAAAAAUUUAAUGGCUUUUGAGAGCAUUAAAUCUGUAAAUCAAAUGAUUUUUAUAAUUCUAUUUGUAUUAGAUAAUGAUAUCUUUCCUAAAUUUUUUUCUGCAUUAUAUGCUCUUUAUUACAUUUGUUGUAUCUCUAAGUAAGAUCUGCAUUCCUGUUGAUUCCUGAAAGUGCAGUUUGACGUCACUUUUCCAGCCCUUCCAUGUUCUAUUCUUAGCCUUGAUGCCAUGGACAUCAGUGGGGAGCAGCAUCUUGAUGUAAAACAUGAUAUUAUCAAGAAAAGACUAGAUUCUCAUGGCAAUGUAAUAGAAGCACGACAAGACGGUAUCGGUGCUCCUAAGAUUGAAAAGCCUUUGCAGAGACAUGGCGGCAGGCUUGAUCAUAAUGAGACAUAUUGUGGUUCAUGUUAUGGUGCUGAAGCGGUAAGCUUAUCUGUCUGGCAAUGUUUUGAGAAAAUAACUGUGUGAUCCCACAUUAAAUUGUCAAAUAAUCAGCUCAGCAUUCUAACAUUUUCAUAUUGUUCUCCCUCUCAAAAAAUGAAGAACAGAGACAUCAAUUUUUGUGGCUUGCAUUCUGUCAUGCACUCAUGCUUGCUUUCAGGAGGUCUCCUAGGAAUAGUCUUAAUUUUUGUCCUUACUGAUGAUAAAAAUCAUAUUGCAAUAUAUUCUCUAUUCCUUUUAUAUUGCAGUCAGAUGAGGACUGUUGUAAUUCUUGUGAGGAAGUUCGUGAAGCAUAUCGUAAGAAAGGUUGGGCACUGUCAAAUCCGGAUUUGAUUGACCAGUGCAAAAGGGAAGGUUUUCUACAAAGGAUCAAGGAUGAGGAAGGUGAAGGAUGCAAUAUUUAUGGAUUUUUGGAAGUUAAUAAGGUGGCUGGUAAUUUUCACUUUGCACCCGGCAAGAGUUUUCAACAAUCAAAUGUUCACGUACAUGAUCUGCUGGCAUUUCAAAAGGACAGUUUUAAUAUAAGUCACAAGAUUAAUAGGCUAGCUUUUGGAGAAUAUUUUCCUGGUGUUGUGAAUCCUCUUGAUGGUGUGCACUGGACACAAGAAACCCCAAGUGGAAUGUACCAGUAUUUUAUCAAGGUUGUACCUACUGUGUACACAGAUAUCAGUGGGCACACAAUUCAGUCAAACCAGUUUUCUGUGACUGAACAUUAUAGAACUGCAGAAGUGGGUCGCCUUCAAUCCCUCCCGGGAGUUUUCUUCUUUUAUGACCUUUCUCCGAUUAAGGUGACUUUCACAGAGGAGCAUAUAUCAUUCUUGCACUUCCUAACAAAUGUCUGCGCUAUUGUUGGAGGUAACAGACCAUCCCUGAAAUAUUGCAUCAUCAUUUUUUUAGCACAACCUUACUUUCUGUACUCCUGAUUGAGUUAUUCUCAUCAAUUAUUGGGAUUGUCUCCCCCCCCCCUCAGUAGAAAUAACUGGGAUUGUGCCAUUUCCCAUAUGGACUAUGUCCUACUAACCUAACAUCGUUCAUUGUUAUUCCCCAAAAAGUCAGUGCCCAUUUUGACCAUAAAUGCUUAAUGUGCAUUAUUGGCCUCCUUUGAUUUUAGUGGGUGCCCAGGUGUGUAGCAGGUAGCGGUUUUCCCUGUCAAGUGUGCAUUUUCCCUUAUUCUUUUGUCCUGAUUUUUGUAGCUGUGAUCAUUAUCAUUUGAUAAAAAAUGUAGUAGAAUUUUUGUGGGCUCAUAAUUAUAUUUAGAUACAAUGAUGUCUGUGGAAAACCUUUUUGUAUGUGUGCAGAAGAGUGGAACUUCAUUUACAAGAUAUUAUGCGUGUUUUAUUUUGUUUUGGAAUACCUUCAUUUAUAUUCAAGUCUAUUUAUCAUUUGGAUACAAGAUAUGCCAAGAAAGCCAUAUAAUUUUUUUCCCCUACUAAUUACUUUCAUUGCAUCUUUCAUGUCUUGAUUUGAUUUAUCAAUUAUUUCUAAUUGUUUCUGUCCUUAGGUGUUUUCACUGUUUCUGGAAUACUGGAUUCAUUUAUAUAUCAUGGUCAAAGGGCAAUCAAGAAGAAGAUGGAAAUCGGUAAAUUUAGUUGAUAGCACGUCUGAUUGGCCUGGGUUGUUGCUGUAUUCUGUUUGGUUUGUCAGUAACUGGCUUCUCAAAUAGAAUUGGGUUGAAUGACAACAUUUUGAAUUGUCCGGCGGCUUUGGAUCACAACUAACUUUCUGUCAAGAUUCAUGAUGUAUGAACCAAUGAAUUAGAAUUAUUUUUUAUAGUUCAUUUUAUAUUUGCAAUGAAAUGUCUCUCGGGGUCUCAUUGUGGUUAAUGUAAUGGCACUGCUGAUACAAGUAUCUGGGUGAAAAGGGGCGUUUCAUUGUUUCCUUAGCUAAGAAAUCAAGAAUUCUGAAGUGGGAAUGAAGAAACAAUCAAGCAUUUUUGUCUGAUGAUUUUGGUUUCACUUGUUAUCUUUUGGUACAAAUGAGGGUGCUCAUAUCUCCCAAGUAUCCGUCUGUUGUGUAAUAAUCCAGUUACCAAUGGUCUAACAAAGCUGGCCAAGUAGAGGUAGAACAGUAGAUUACCUCUCCUUAAAUGGGAAUUUGGGGGAAAGGGUAUUGGUUAUGAUUAUUUGCUCGCGCAUUUAGUGCGGCCUUCAAAUGCACGGCCAUAGGUUAUGAAUAAGGAAACAUAUCAUGAAUUUAAGUAUGUAUAAUUAAAUUUAUGAUAGAGUUUUAAACAAGAA